UGCAUUUGAGAGAGGCACGUGCUUGCAACCA
rnacentral:piRNA from 1 species